AUUAGCCAUGCACGUCUAAGUACAAUCGUGUAUUAACCGAGAAACUGCAGAUGGCUCAUUAGAUCAGUUAUGGUUCAUUGAAGCCAGUUCACGACCAUGGAUAACUGUGGUAAUUCUAGAGCUAAUACAUGCAUCCAAGCGCCGACCCUUCGGGGGAAGCGUGCCUUUAUUAGGAACAAGGCCAGCCCGGUGUCUCGCUUCGGCGUGCCCGGUCUCCGCUGGUGAACUCUAGAUAACCCAGCCGAUCGCACGGUCUGGCACCGGCGACGCUCCCUUCAAAUGUCUGUUCUAUCAACUAUCGAUGGUAAGUUAUGCGCUUAUCAUGGUAGUGACGGGUAACGGAGAAUCAGGGUUCGAUUCCCGAGAGGGAGCCUGAGAAACGGCUACCACAUCCAAGGAAGGCAGCAGGCACGCCAAUUACCCACUCCCUGACACGGGGAGGUAGUGACAAAAAAUAACAAUACAGGCCUCUUCGGAGGCUCUGAAUAUUGAGUACACUUGAACUGGAGGGCAAAUCUGGUGCCAGCAGCCGCGGUAAUUCCAGCUCCAGCAGCGUAUAUUAAAUUUGCUGCAGUUAAAAAGCUCGUAGUCUGAUGUCGGGGCGGGUGGUUCGUCGUGAGGCGUGCACUGCCCGUUCCCGUGUGCUGUCCCUCUGUUCGGCGUCCUUGUCGGCGGAGCGGGCGUUUUGCUUUGAGAGAAUUGGAGUGUUCAAAGCAGGCUCAAGUGGCCGACCAACAACUCAGCAUGGAAUAGUGGAACAGGACCUCGGUUCUGUUUCGUUGGUCUUUAGAGGUAAUGAUCAAGAGGGACUGCCGGGGGCAUUCGUAUUGCGGCGUGAGAGGUGAAAUUCUUGGAUCGUCGCAAGACGCCCGACAGCGAAAGCAUUUGCCAAGAAUGUCUUCAUUGAUCAAGAACGAAAGUCGGAGGAUCGAAGGCGAUCAGAUGUCGCCCUAGUUCCGACCAUAAACGAUACCAUUAACUGGUAAUUCGCCGGCGUUUCUCCCAUGACGCGGCGGAAAACUCUCCGGAAGCCCGGAGGAAGUAUGGUUGCAAAGCUGAAACUUAAAGGAAUUGACGGAAGGGCACCACCAGGAGUGGAGCCUGCGGCUUAAUUUGACUCGACACUGGGAUUCCUAAGCCGGGCCCGGACACAGUGAGGAUUGACGGAUUGAGAGCUCUUUCUUGAUUUAGUGGACGGUGGUGCAUGGCCGUUCUUAAUUGAUUUGUCUGGUUAAUUCCGAUAAGGAACGAGACUCCGGCUUCUAAAAAGCCCGGCUACCGGCUACCGGCCGGGAACUUGUUAGAGGGACAAAUGGCUUUUAGCCAUACGAGAUGGAGCAAUAACAGGUCUGUGAUGCCCUUAGAUGUCCGGGGCCGCACGCGCGCUACACUGGCGCAAGCAGCGGGUCUCUCACCCUCGGCCGACAGGUCCGGGUAACCCGCUGAGACUUCUCCGUGCUGGGGACAGGGACUUGUAAUUGUGUCCCUUGAACGAGGAAUUCCAAGUAAACGCGAGUCAUCAGCUCGCAUUGAUUACGUCCCUGCCCUUUGUACACACCGCCCGUCGCUACUACCGAUCGAAUGGCUUAGUGAGGCCAUCGGAUCGACCGUCCGGCAGAUGUCUUUCGGCGUCUGUACUGGGCGUGACGAGAAGACGGUCAAACUCGAUCAUUUAGAGGAAGUAAAAGUCGUAACAAGGUUUCCUAGGUGAACCUGC
rnacentral:rRNA from 1 species